rnacentral:rRNA from 1 species
UUCACCUACGGGGGGCAGCAGUGGGGGAUAUUGCACAAUGGGGGGAACCCUGAUGCAGCGACGCCGCGUGGGUGAAGAAGCGCCUCGGCGCGUAAAGCCCUGUCAGCAGGGAAGAAAAUGACGGUACCUGAAGAAGAAGCCCCGGCUAACUACGUGCCAGCAGCCGCGGUAAUACGUAGGGGGCAAGCGUUAUCCGGAUUUACUGGGUGUAAAGGGGGCGCAGACGGCGAUGCAAGCCAGGAGUGAAAGCCCACGGCCCAACCGUGGGACUGCUCUGGAAACUGUGCGGCUUGAGUGCGGGAGGG